rnacentral:rRNA from 1 species
UUUAACUGAGCGUUCAGUUACUUGACGUAGACCCGAAACCGGGCGACCUACCCAUGAGCAGGAUGAAGCGAAAGUAAAAUUUCGUGGAGGUCCGAACCCACGAGCGUUGAAAAGCUCGGGGAUGACUUGUGGGUAGCGGUGAAAUUCCAAUCGAGCCCGGAGAUAGCUGGUUCUCCCCGAAAUAGCUUUAGGGCUAGCCUCAAGGUGAGAGAUACGGAGGUAGAGCACUGAAUGUCCUAGGGGGUAUUGCACCUACCGAAGACUAUCAAACUCCGAAUGCCGUCAUCUUAUACUUGGGAGUCAGACUGUGGGUGAUAAGAUUCAUAGUCGAAAGGGCAACAGCCCAGAUCGUCAGCUAAGGUCCCUAAAUGUAAGUUAAGUGGUAAAGGAUGUGGGAUUGCACAGACAACCAGGAUGUUGGCUUAGAAGCAGCCACUCAUUCAAAGAGUGCGUAAUAGCUCACUGGUCGAGUGAUCCUGCGCCGAAGAUUUCCGGGGCUAAAACUUACUACCGAAGCUACGGCAUCAGUAAUGAUGGGUAGGGGAGCUUCCCAUACGGGUUGAAGCAUGACCGUAAGGACAUGUGGACAGUAUGGGAGUGAGAAUGUUGGCAU